rnacentral:rRNA from 1 species
AUUAAGGGGAGGAAAAGAAACUAACAAGGAUUCCCUCAGUAAGGGCGACUGAAGCGGGAAGAGCUCACCGUGUGAAUCGGCAUUUAUGUCGAGUUGUGGUCUGUAGAAGCAUUGUCGGUCGACGUUCCGGGCCAAGUCUCUUGGAAAAGAGCAGCUGAGAGGGUGACACUCCCGUUCUUGCCUGGAAUGUGCGAUCAUAGCACAUGCCUUCGACGAGUCGAGUUGCUUGGGAUUGCAGCUCAAAUGCGUGGUAUACUCCAUGUAAAGCUAAAUAUUGGUAGGAAACCGAUAGCGUACAAGUACUGUGAAGGAAAGAUGCAAAGAACUUUGAAAAGAGAGUUAAAGAGUACCUGAAAUUGCUGAAAGGGAAGCGAAUGGAAACAGUGUGUUUCCGUACCAUUCUUCCUCUGCGACUUGUCGUAGGGGCGCUGUGGUGCGGAGUCGGUCAGCAUGGGUUUGGAUCGGGGCAUAUAGCUGUUCAGGAGGCAUGCGUCUUUUCGCAGAUUACUGUUCAGUGUUGCCCUGGUCUGGAUCGAGGCUAGUAUUUCGUGAUGCUGACGAAAUGUUUCUAUUCACCCCGUCU